GAUGAACGCUGGCGGCGUGCCUAAUACAUGCAAGUCGAGCGAACAGACGAGGAGCUUGCUCCUCUGACGUUAGCGGCGGACGGGUGAGUAACACGUGGAUAACCUACCUAUAAGACUGGGAUAACUUCGGGAAACCGGAGCUAAUACCGGAUAAUAUAUUGAACCGCAUGGUUCAAUAGUGAAAGACGGUUUUGCUGUCACUUAUAGAUGGAUCCGCGCCGCAUUAGCUAGUUGGUAAGGUAACGGCUUACCAAGGCAACGAUGCGUAGCCGACCUGAGAGGGUGAUCGGCCACACUGGAACUGAGACACGGUCCAGACUCCUACGGGAGGAAGCAGUAGGGAAUCUUCCGCAAGGGGCGAAAGCCUGACGGAGCAAAACCGCGGGAGUGAUGAAGGUCUUCGGAUCGUAAAACUCUGUUAUUAGGAAAGAACAAAAGUGUAAGUAACUAUGCACGUCUUGACGGUACCUAAUCAGAAAGCCACGGCUAACUACGUG
rnacentral:rRNA from 1 species